CACUUCCGACUGGGGCGCUGGCCCAGCCACGCCCACUUGUCUGGCGGCCCUGCACACUUUGUGAAUUUGGGGAUUGUUGCGUAUGACAACCGGGCUCAAAAGGGACUCCCCUGCUUGGCUGGCACUGUUUUCCUGUUCAUCUUCUGAAAGGUGAUGGUGUCUUCCGCGCCCUGCACGGCGCUUCCCCGCCGCGGAAAGAGUUCCUUUACUUUACAGCGGUGCCUACUAGGGAUCUUUCUAGCGACUUUGGCAUUCCUGCUGUUUACACUCUCAGAUGCCUGUGUACUGCCACCACCAUUUCAAGCUUUGGAGCUCGUUGGCAAACCUAAACCCUAUUAUGAAGUUGGAGAAGAAAUAACUUAUAGGUGUAAAAAAGGAUAUGACCAAGUAUUGGGGUUUCUCACGAUUGCUACUUGUGAGCCGAAUCAUACCUGGGUGCCUAUUUCAGACGAUGCCUGUAUGAAAAGAAGAUGUCCAUAUUUAGGUGCUCCUAAAUUUGGCAAAGCCGAUUACCCAAAUGGAACUCACCAGUGGGGUGCUCAAGUUCAUUUUUCUUGUUCUAGUGGUUAUUACAUAAUUGGUAAAGCAAUCGUAAAUUGUGUGCUUAAGGGAGAAAACCCACACUGGGAUGGUAAAGCCCCACAAUGUGAAAAGAUUUUGUGUGAACCACCUCCAAAAAUCAAAGAUGGGAAAUACUCCUUUAGUGACAUAGAAGUAUUUGAGUAUAUGGAAGCAGUAACUUACAGUUGUAAUAAAAAACCUGCAGGAGAAGAACUUUCACUUGUGGGAGAAAAAGAGCUUUACUGUGCCGGCAACGGAGUAUGGAGUAGCAGUCCUCCUCAGUGUAAAGUGGUCAAAUGUCCAUUUCCAGCAGUUGAAAAUGGAAACCAGUUAUCGGGACUCGGAAAAAAGUUUUCCUAUAGAGAUACAGUUGUGUUUGAAUGCAUUCAGGGUUAUUACAUGAAUGGCAGCACCACCUCUGUCUGUAACGGUGAAAGUGUUUGGGAGCCUCCAUUGCCAAAAUGUCUUAAAGCGACGCCUCCUCCCAAUACAAAACCUCCAACUAUAAGUUAUUCAGUGUCAACUUCUCCCAGUACAAAACCUCCAGUUUCCACUGUUUCAGUUUUAUUUGACAACAGUUUAAUAGCAACUUCAAAGGUCCUAGGCCUACUCAUCCCAAGAAACCUUCAGUUCAUAAUUAUCCAGGAUAUCCCAAUCCCGAUGGACUGUUUGAUGAUGACUUCGGUUAUUAUUUUGUUAUUGAUAAUCCUUCAUUAAGAGACCAUAUAGAUUAUAUGGAAAUAUGAUAGUUUCCAAUUAUCUGCACUUAAGGAAGAAAUUUCUUGAAUUAUUAGUAAUAAUUGACAUUUAUGGUUAUUUUGUGCAGAUAAUAAUACAAAUAUAAGUAAUAGUGUAUUAGAAACAUUCAGGUAAGUAGAGUUGUAUAGGGGUGGCUCAAUACAGGAAUGCCAAUAGGAAAAGGUAACCUAUCUAAAUUUUCUUGUCAUAUGUAGGUUAAUAUAUGUAAAACACAACUUGCUUUCCACAUGAUACUGUUAUUUCGUGAUGGCAGAUUGUAGUUAAGAUUCUCUUCCUAUUCACAUCACAUAUACAUACACCUUAAAAAGCACUCUGUUGUGUUAAUUUUUUUUUCUGUAAUAGGCUGGUUUAAUGCACUUGAUGUAGUCUUAUACAGACCACAUAAUAUAUAUUAAAUGAAUGAAGUAGACUAGUCAGAACAGUUAAAGUGCAGAGAAGUAAAAGAUUUCUUGAGUAAAACAAGACAAAAAUUUGACUAGUUUAGUAAUUGUUAAUCCUGUAAUAAAAUUCACCUUAGUCUUAUUUUUUAAGUACAACUGUCUGUCUUGGUGUCCAUGGGCAACUGAUUCCAGGACCUCUCCCCUCCCCAUGCAGAUAAACAAGAUCUGAAUGCUUUAAAGUCCUGCCUAUAAAAAUGAUAUAUCAUCUCACAUACAGCCUAGGCAAAUCCUCCCAUAUGCCUCUAGGCACAUCUUCCCAUAUGCCUCCAGUCAUCUCUAGAUUACUUAUAGUACUAAUACAAUGUAAAUACUACUGAACAGAUCAAUACAUUUUUUUUUCCAAAUAUUUUUGAUCUGCGCUUGGUUGAAUCCACACUUUUGGAAACUGUGGAUAGAGUUCUGACUACAUAGUUGUCCUUCAAUAUACAGUGGGGUUAUAUCCUGAUAAACCCAUUGUAAAUUGAAAAUAUCCUAAGUUAAAAAUGCUUUUAUUUCACCUAACCUACCCAACACCAUUGCUCAGCACCACAGGGGAGUACUGGUUGUAUACCCUCAGGGGGCCGUGACUGCCUAGGAGCUGCCACACAUGGCUGAAGCCCAGCAGCUUGAGAUAGUGUGGUCCAUCAUGUUGCUAAUCCAGAAAAGGAUCCCAUUUCAGAGUUUUUCCUCUACUAUAGUAAAUGCUAAUUGUUCUAAUAACGUUUACUAAGAACCUGAACAGAACGCUGAAAAGUGAGGUUUUAUUAGAAGUUUUGCAAAUUGGACUUGCAACCUGGAAAGUGGUUUAGAAAAGUUUUGUGAUCAAAAUGACUAGAAUGCCCUGGCCGUUGUGCUAAAACUAGGUAGGUUUAAAAAAAAAAAAGUUUUUCUCUAGCAUUUAGAUGAUCUAAGCAAAAAUGUAACUGCCAUCUGGAGACUCAUAUCUUCUUAAUUUUUUUUUCCUUAGCUCUAUGGAUCAUUUUGCUGAUUAUUCUUAUUGCAAUUGUUUCGAUUGCUAUAAUUAUCCUCUGCCUGUACAGACGUUUUCAACGCAGGAAGAAGGGGAAAACAGUUAGAGCUCAAUACAACACUUACCAGAAAAGUUUGACCACUUCAG